GAUGAAGAACGCAGCGAAAUGCGAUAAGUAAUGUGAAUUGCAGAAUUCAGUGAAUCAUCGAAUCUUUGAACGCACAUUGCGCCCGCCAGUAUUCUGGCGGGCAUGCCUGUUCGAGCGUCAUUACAACCCUCAGGCCCCCGGGCCUGGCGUUGGGGAUCGGCGGAAGCCCCCUGCGGGCACAACGCCGUCCCCCAAAUACAGUGGCGGUCCCGCCGCAGCUUCCAUUGCGUAGUAGCUAACACCUCGCAACUGGAGAGCGGCGCGGCCACGCCAUAAAACACCCAACUUCUGAAUGUUGACCUCGAAUCAGGUAGGAAUACCCGCUGAACUUAAGCAUAUCAAUAAGCGGAGGA
rnacentral:misc_RNA from 1 species